GGGCCCGCACAAGCGGUGGAGCAUGUGGUUUAAUUCGAUGAUACGCGAGGAACCUUACCAGGGCUUAAAUGUAACGGGACAGAUCUAGAGAUAGAUCCUUCUUCGGACUCAUUACAAGGUGCUGCAUGGUUGUCGUCAGCUCGUGCCGUGAGGUGUCAGGUUAAGUCCUAUAACGAGCGCAACCCCCAUCGUUAGUUGCCAACGAGUAAUGUCGGGAACUCUAACGAAACUGCCGGUGCAAACCGUGAGGAAGGUGGGGAUGACGUCAAAUCAUCACGGCCCUUACGUCCUGGGCUACACACGUGCUACAAUGGUCGGUACAGAGAGCAGCCACUACGCGAGUAGGAGCAAAUCUUCAAAGCCGAUCUCAGUUCGGAUCGGAGUCUGCAACUCGACUCCGUGAAGUCGGAAUUGCUAGUAAUCGCGAAU
rnacentral:rRNA from 1 species